UUCUGUAACCAUAGUGCCGUCCUUCUUAGAGUGAUUCCACGGCUGGUGCUGGCACCUAUCCCUGGAGUUUUGAGAAGCGUUUUUCCCGGGACGAGUUUAAAAGCUGAUGCAGCAGCCGUGGCUGUUGUGCAAGUGAGCGGGUGAGCAGGGUCUGAGUGUAGGGGGUAGCGUGGAGAGUAGUGGUUCUUUUCAUUGUGCUGGACUGUCCAUGUUACAGUGAUUACAGUCGUGGUGUUGGCCACUCUCUCUUGAGUUUUUAUAAGAUUUUCUCAGGUUGGGUGGAAAUAGUGCUCUGCUGCCAUAGCUGUCAUCCAGGCAACCAGGUGAGCAACGUCUAAGUGGAGAAGGCAAGGAUAUAUGCUUGUACCCAUCAUGAUGGAUUGUCUCUGCUCCUUUUUUUGGUUUCUUUUUUUUUCUUGUAGCAUCACAUUUUGCAUUGUUGGGAUGUGUUUUUUUCAUGCAUUUUUUUUAGCAUUAUUUAUGGAGGAACUGGAGGCAAGGCACUGCUCUACUGGAAAGAUAAGUUAAACCAUCCCAUAUCCCAUCUUGUUUUACCUGUAGUCUGAAAACUCCAUACUUUUGUUUUCAUGGAGCUUUUUUUCACUAAUUACAUUCCUGUCGUUCUAUUGCAAACAAUACAAUGUCUUUAUUACAGUGAUUUAAUUUCUGGUGUUGGCUGCUGUCUCUGGAUUUUUGACAAGAGUUUCCCAGGAUGGAUGUAAAAUGUACUGUAGCAGUACUUUUUACUGUCAUGCUAGUAACCAGGCCUUGAGAAUGACAUCACCAAAGCAUGGCACACCUCUGUCCUCUCCCUCCUCCAGAAAUCUGUUUGAGACUGUCUUGACCUUCUGCAAUGACAGAAUGACACUUACCUAAGGACAAAGAAACACACAGAGCCUCACUGUAGCCCAUAAUGGUCUGUAUUUGGCUGGAAUCUGCCUGUAGCCAUGGACAAAGGGAACUCAGCACCACCCACCUUCUCUUUCUGAAACAUCGGAAAAUAAUUUUUUUUAAUUUAUGAUCUCAUUGGCUGGUUCUUCUUGUUUGUGCUGUCUUUUUAAGGAAACUUUAUUUUUUUGGGAAGAAUUGCUUAAGCUUCAAAUUCUUAGCAAAAGAGCUCCCCCUGGCAGGAGCCAUCUAAACAGACUUCUCUCUUAAUCUCUUGUUUGCAAGGACUCAACCUUCAGUAACUCCUGCUAGGUCUCCAUUUCCAGUUUUGAGAGCAUGAAAGAGAAGGGAAUACAGAAGAGCAUCACAGAAGCCCUAUCUCUGCGUUUCCCCAAAUGCAUUCCCCUUCAGCUACAUGUAGGACAACAAAACAGUGUUAUUCUCUACUGAAAGUGUUGGAAAAAAAUGGCUGAUUGACUGACAUCUGAAUAAAAUAGCUGCCUUGCUAACACAAACAGUCAGUGGACAUUUUUGAGGAUUCCCUGGCAGCUUUGGAUUUGCCAUUUGAUCUCCAAUAUUUGAUCCAUGAGGUACACUCCUGUUUUACAAAUCUCUGUAUAUUACUUUUCCACGGUAUUAACAGAAAACACAGUUAAACAGCAAGACAGCAGUGAGACCCUGAGGAACAGAAACGUUUCAAGAAACGUUUAGAUGUUGUACUGAUGGGCAUAGUUUAGUGGGAAAUAUUGGUGAUGGGUGGAUGGUUGGACUGGAUCAUCUUAGAGGUCUUUUCCAACCUUGAUGAUUCUGUGAUUCUAUGACAGCCCUUUGGGUUGGCAUGAGUGUGGUUAAAUGCAGGUAGAAUGCAGUUUGGCACAGUAGGGUGCAGGUGGGCCCUGGCACUCAGCAGCUUUGGCCCAAGUUUGGUCACAGUAGCCACCUCACUGAGCAAUGUGCUUGUUGGAAUGGUGCUCAACCUGCUGUAUAAUCUUCCUGGCCAGAAAGCCCCUAGUGCUCCCCGCCCUAUCUUCUCCUAUACUCCUCAGGAAGUCUGCCUGAAGAUAGCUAACUGUCCAUCUGUUUUGUUCUUACUGAGUGAAUUCAGACCAAAAGUUAUUUUGUUACAUGAGGAAGCACUGAACUGGAACAAAGUGUCCAGGAGAUAACUGCUUCCUGCUGUCAGCUUGCAGGGUUUCCAUAAGCAGUAGGUUUGCUCUUUGCACCACACUGAACUGGAUGGUAUGUUUCAUUGCACAGGAGGAUGUGCAAAUACACAAGAUGUAUUUGUUUGCUAAAUGAGUCAGGAAAUAUGAAAAAAUGGAAAAAUGAUGUGGGACUCCAUAAAGCACCUCAUAGGUCAAAAGCAAAGAAGCAAAUACGAACAAACAGAUGGAUGAGGCUUGAGACUGCAGUAUCCUUCUGUGAUGGAUUACAGCAAAAUUUGUCUUCUGUGGAUGACUGUGAGUGAAGUGUGGAGGUUUGAGAACUGCCUGUACUCAGUGAGCUCUUUAUGGGAUGUAAUACUGCACAAGGAUUGCCGUGAGCAUCCAGACAGCCCUUUCCAGAAUCCAGCCCUGCUGCUGUAGCCUGAACUGUGCAAAAACUCAACAAAAUCAUAGCAUCAUAGAAUAUCCCGAGUUGGAAGGGAACCACAAGGAUCACCGAGUCCAACCCUUGGCUUCACA